UUUUUUUGGUGUAAACAGCUUUGUAUAGAUGAUAGAGACCAGAUUAUAGAUUUGAUAGGAAAUCUGUAAUUAUGUCUUUUUGGAGGUAGCCAGCAUACACUUAAUGGGGAAGAAUUCAACAUUACCAGUUUCAAAAAAAAAUUAUUCAAUAAUAUUCUUUUCCUAUAUUUCUCGCAGUGCCCAUCCACAUUUCCGCUCUAACAACAAUAGGAUGGUAUGAAGUCAACAAGUACUAUUGAAAAAGAGAGAAAUAUGAUAUUUCCGUAAAGACGAA
rnacentral:misc_RNA from 1 species